UAGCUAUAAAUAGCGAUCAAAGAUUUGAAACAUUCAGUUGCAUCAAGAAAAAAAACAAAGAGAACGCCUUGCAAAAUGGAAACGCUUAACAUAUUCUUCGUAUUGUGUUUGCUUUUCUUCAUCGCUUUCACUCAAGCUGCUCAAGGAGCCCCAGGGCAAGGAGGUUUAGGUUCUAAAAUCACUAAAGGCCUGCUAAACGUGGACGCAGUGAAUCUUUCUGAUUAAUUAGUCCCAUUAUAUGAUUUUAAUGUAGCACUAAAUAAAAUUAUUCUCAAUA
rnacentral:lncRNA from 1 species